GAUGAACGCUAGCGGGAGGCCUAACACAUGCAAGCCGAGCGGUAGAGUUUCUUCGGAAACUUGAGAGCGGCGCACGGGUGCGUAACACGUGUGCAACCUACCUUUAUCUGGGGGAUAGCCUUUCGAAAGGAAGAUUAAUACCCCAUAAUAUAAUGAUUGGCAUCAAUUAUUAUUGAAAACUCCGGUGGAUAGAGAUGGGCACGCGCAAGAUUAGAUAGUUGGUGAGGUAACGGCUCACCAAGUCAAUGAUCUUUAGGGGUCCUGAGAGGGAGAUCCCCCACACGGGUACUGGGACACGGACCAGACUCCUACGGGAGGCAGCAGUGAGGAAUAUUGGACAAUGGGUGAGAGCCUGAUCCAGCCAUCCCGCGUGAAGGAUGACGGUCCUAUGGAUUGUAAACUUCUUUUGUACAGGGAUAAACCUACCCUCGGGAGGGUAGCUGAAGGUACUGGACGAAUAAGCACCGGCUAACUCCGUG
rnacentral:rRNA from 1 species